CGGGGUGUGGCCUAGUUGGCUAAGGCGCAUGCUUUGGGAGCAUGAGAUCGUGGGUUCAAGUCCCACCACCCCGA
rnacentral:tRNA from 1 species